GUACUCGCUUCGGCGGCACAUAUACUAAAAUUUGAACGGUACAGAUAAGAUCAGCAUGGCCCCUGUGCAAGGAUGACACACAAAAUCGUGAAGGGUCCCAAUUUUUU